UACAGAGGUCUCAAGCGUUGUUCGGAUUCAUUGGGCGUAAAGGGUGCGUAGGCGGCGGGGUAAGUCGGAUGUGAAAUCCCGGGGCUCAACCCCGGAACUGCAUUCGAUACUGCCUUGCUAGAGUACUGGAGAGGAGACUGGAAUUUACGGUGUAGCAGUGAAAUGCGUAGAUAUCGUAAGGAAGACCAGUGGCGAAGGCGAGUCUCUGGGCAACAACUGACGCUGAGGAGCGAAAGCGUGGGGAGCGAACAGG
rnacentral:rRNA from 1 species